UGACAGAGAGAAGGAAAAGAAGAAGAAGAAAAGAAAGGAAGAAAAGAAGAGGAAGAAGAAGAAGAAAGAAGAAGGGAAGGGAGCCCCGGUUGUGCUGCCAACUGAAGGAAAAAGCAUAGAUCUCCUUCUCCUCUACGCAAAGACCUCGAUUUUUCGAAGAGAAAAAGGUAAAUACCCAUCCCUACCUAGUCUUUUGAUGAAAUUAGGCUAUACAAAGGGUGGAUGUAGUCUAGAGG
rnacentral:lncRNA from 1 species